rnacentral:sRNA from 1 species
GACACAUUGGAGAAGACCACGUGGCCUUAAACCAACUGCUGCAACUCUGUGUGCAGGAUGAUUCUGUGGGUUCAAGUCACCCAGCACCUAUGCUGCAACCAAAAGUGCCUCCUGUCGCUUUGUAUCAAAGGACCUUUGUCAUGAUCUCAUUCACAAUAUUGGUGGUCCCUGAGAGUGGAGCAGUGGAGUGAUUGACGUGCCUGAGUUUGAAGAGAGUUAACCACUGGAAUCUCUCAUGUUUUAUUCCCUCCAAAAUGCUGCAGUUCAGUGUUGUCCCAGAUUUUAUGCUUUUGCUUAGAUUUCUCUGUUCUCUAAGUUGUUAACAGUUUGUCUUUAAUAUUUCCCAGGCUUUCUUGAUCAUGGAUAGUGAAGAUAUACCAGAUUUUUCAAGUUUAAAGGAGGAAACUGCUUAUUGGAAGGAACUUUCCUUGAAGUACAAGCAAAGAGUUUACUAAGUCUUAUCAAACCUUUUACUGCCCUUUCAUUAUUAUCACCGAAGUCAGUUAUUCUAUUGUGCCAGUGGAUAUGAAAGCUUCCAGGAAGCUCGGGAUGAGCUAGUUGAAUUCCAG